UAGAGUUUGAUCCUGGCUCAGAUUGAACGCUGGCGGCAUGCCUAACACAUGCAAGUCGAACGCGAAAGUCCUUCGGGAUGAGUAGAGUGGNGGACGGGUGAGUAACGCGUAGGAAUCUGCCCAGUAGUGGGGGACAACUCGGGGAAACUCGAGCUAAUACCGCAUACGCCCUACGGGGGAAAGAGGGGGACCUUCGGGCCUCUCGCUAUUGGAUGAGCCUGCGUUGGAUUAGCUUGUUGGUGGGGUAAUGGCCCACCAAGGCGACGAUCUUUAGCUGGUCUGAGAGGAUGACCAGCCACACUGGGACUGAGACACGGCCCAGACUCCUACGGGAGGCAGCAGUGGGGAAUAUUGGACAAUGGGCGCAAGCCUGAUCCAGCAACGCCGCGUGGAGGAUGAAGGUCUUCGGAUUGUAAACUCCUUUUAAGAGGGAAGAUAAUGACGGUACCUCUUGAAUAAGCACCGGCUAACUCCGUGCCAGCAGCCCGCGGUAAUACGGA
rnacentral:rRNA from 1 species